rnacentral:lncRNA from 1 species
CUCUAUUAUCUCGGCUUCUCGGGAGGAGCCUCAUCUAGUCAGUCACGCAGAAGUUUCUCUUUCGCUCUUCGCGCUACACACCCAGAUUGGCUUCCAGCGCGCAGGCGAGUGGGGCGAAGGAGGGGGGACAGGAGUCCCGGAAGGGCCGUCCGGCGUUCACACCCACCCCUGUUCCGCUCCUCCCGCCCCAAACAAAGUCCCCCGACUCUAGGUCCAGGAUACGUUACCUGCCCGGCGCUCCCGGCCCCUCGGUCACCGCAUCCCCCGCUGGGCGCGCCUGGGCACAAGCCUGCUGGAGAACAGAGCCAACACAGAGAAAAUGGAUCCAGGAGAUGAAGAUGGAGAAACUGGGUGCUGAAGACCUUUGAGCUGUUUUUGGAGCUAGACUGAUCACUGGACUUUCAAAUCAUAUGAGUAAAUUUGUUCUCUUUUAGGUGAAGUUAGCUUGGAUUGAAUUUUCUGUCAUUUGAAAUAGAAUCCUAAUUGAUACACUUGUCUCCAAUACCUGUUCAAAGCCUUAGUGAGGCAUAGUAAGUACAGAACUUAGCUGUUGACCAAUAUCAGUGCAUACACAUAUGAUACCAAUUUAUUAACUUACUGCUACUGGGCCAAGGAAAGGGAGUUGUAAUAUUAUCACACGUGUGGCAUGUCAGAAUCAAAUUGGAGUACCUGCUUUUGUUUAAACUUCCAGGGAGGAUGGAACUCUUCUUACCACAGACAUAUUAAACCCUCUUACCACCACUACAGAAAAUUCAGCAGUCAAAGCAGGAGGCAUUCAACAUAAUAGCCUUUGUUCCCUGUAUAUCUUCCACCUUUUUAUUGCUGCACCCCCACCUCCAGCUUUUACUCCUAGUUAACUAAUAGUUGUCCGUGCUGCUUCAUGCAUUAGUACCUCUGCACGAGCUCUUUUCUUAGGCUGGAAUGUACUUCCUAGUACUGUCUACCCUUCUAGGCCCAGCUCAAGUGCCCCAGCCUCUGAAAUGUCUUUUGUUUUUUGUUUGUUUGUUGUUGUUGUUGUUGUUGUUGUUUUGAGGCAGGGUCUGGCUCUGUCACCCAAGUUGGAGUGCAGUAGUGCAAUCUAGGCUCACCACAACUUCUGCCUCCCAAGCUGAAGCCAUCCUCCCACCUCAGCCUCCUGAGUAACUGGAACUACAAGCACAUGCCACCACACCCAGCUAAUUUUCGUAUAUUUUGUAGUGAUGGGGGAGCGUCUCACCAUGUUGCCCAGGCUGGUCUUGAGCUCCUAGGCUCAAGUGAUUCACCCACUUUGGCCUCGCAAAGUGCUGGGAUUACAGGCAUGAACCACUGUGUCUGGCCCCCUCUUCCGCGAAAUUUUUUGUUUUACCUAACAAUGACACAAUCCUGCACUUCAUACCUCCCAUGCACAUACUCUAAAAUGGAUCAUUUACUUGUGUCACACUCUGUACAUCCUUCUAUUUCCAAUGUUUUUCUGUUUAUUUAUCUAGCUCUUCUACUACUAGACUGAGCGCCACAAGGGCAGGAAUGCUCUCCAAUUCAUCUUGGAAUUUUUUAGGUUCCUGGCCAUUAAGCUAUAAAUAAUUAUGCCUGGUGGAAAUAAAUAAUCAAAUACAUUUAAUGAAUGGCUGUGGAAGCAAAGAGAUUCAUACAUUUUUAUAGCUGGGAACUUAGAAUUCACCUAAUCCUGUGAGGUAAAAUAUGUUUCGCAGGAAUAGCAAAAUUAUAGAUUCUACGAGAAUAAAUUUUUUAAUUUCAUCAGAACUCAUCACAUGAUAGCAUUCUGUAUUUUAUACUUGCAUAAGUAUAGUAAUGUAUCACAAAGUUUAAGAAUCUUUAUUCUUUAAAUUUGUCUAUCUUCUUUUUCUAAGUUAAAGACCUUCUUUCUAUUCUCUUUAAGCAUUUUAUUCAUAUGUCAGAGUGCUUCUCAGAUCUACACACUAUUUGUGAUUACAUAAUAUUUUAUUAUCGCCAAGAACCCAAACAUUAGUUCAAAUAGUAAAUAAAUUCAGAUACCUUAAAGAGCCAAGCUAAAUAUAACUGAAAAAUGACUCUCCACCCAUUUUAUACAAACACACACACGUACAUACACACACGUUCAUAUCCAUGAUCUUUAGUAAUCCCACAAUUUCAACAUCUUUGUGUAGGAAGGGAGUUGCUGUCACAUGAAAAGGUUACAGAUGGAUCCUAUUUCUUAUAGACCUGAAGGAAUCUGGGCAUGCUUAGAAGCAGGAGAAUGAAUAUUGUGGAAAUGGACAAUAAUCUGCAUGAAAAUGUAUCCAGUUAUCUCCAUUUAGGAUUGACUCAGUACAGACUAUGUUAUAUUUGGGGAGAUAUUUUUCUUCUUUAAUAUGAAUUGUCUUUGGUGAUAAUUAUUUGCCCUUGAGAUAUAUAUGUAAGUAGAAUCCCAUAGAUGAUCAAGAAGAAUUAGGUGGCAAAUCUUCACUGCUACCAAUGGGCAAGAAUUGGAAUGAAAACUCUACAGAGACUGUGCUAUGAGAGAGUUUUUCUGUGGCAUUAUUUUAUUUAUUUUGUUUAUUUUUUAUUUAUUUUUAUUAUUUUAUUUUAUUUAUUUAUUUUUAUUUAUUAUUUAUUUAUUUAUUUUUCUGUGCCUACCUAAGACUUUGGGAAAGGUAUUGCUAAACAUAAUGUCCUGUGGGUUGUGCUGAUUGAGAAAGGGGGCUGGACCCUCCAUGAGAUAAACUACCAUAAAGUUUUAAAGAUACAUACCAUAGAGAAAAGAGGAAAGAUGCUUUUGAAGAGGAAGGUACAUACACAAUAGUGGACCUUGAGACAAGGAAGCCUGACUAGCAAUCAGAGUAUACUUUUAAGGGCAUCUUUGUGAAAAUGUUCAGUUUUUUGCUGUUCUUUAACUACUGGGAAAGUUUUAUUUAGUGCAAGGGUCCCCAACCCCCAGGCCACAGACCAAGGCCUAACAGUCCAUGGCCUAUUAGGAACCAGGCUGCACAGCAGGAAGUGAGCAGCAGGGAGAGCCAGCAAAGCUUCAUUUGUAUUUACAGCCACUCUCCAUUGCUGGCAGUAAGGCCUGAGCUUCACCUCCUGUCAGAUCAGCAGCAGCAUUAGACUCUCAUAGAAGCUAGGUUCUGCACUCCUCAUGAGAAUCUAAUGCCUGAUGAUCUGUCACUGUCUCCCAUCAUCCCCAGAUGAGACUAUCUAGUUGCAGAAAAACAAGCUCAGGGCUCCCACUGAUUCUGCAUUAUGGUGAAUUGUAUAAUUAUUUCAUUAUUAUAUUUAUAUUAUUGAAUAUAUAUUAUAUUCAAUAUAUAUUUCAUUAUAUAUUACAAUGUAAUAGUAAUAGAAAUGAAGUGCAUGAUAAAUGCAAUGUGCUUAAAUCAUACCCCCGACCGCAGGUCCGUGGAAAAAUUGUCCAUGAAACCAGUCCCUGGUGCCAAAAACGUGGGGGACUGUUGACUUAGUGGACAGUUUUUACCAACAUAGGGAAGUGUAAUCUUCUGCACAAUGUUGUGACCCCAGUGUCCUACUGGGGAGAAUUCUGGCAAGUAGCAGGGAAGUGUGCAGCAGCCUGCAGAGGAGCAUGGAGGAAAAUGCGGACUAUAAUUGAGCUGUGGAUGCUCAGAAAACUCAGGAACAGGCAGGGAAAACAAAACAAGAAAAAAAAAGUUUGUUCUCAAGGGUAUCAGAGCUUCCUGUCAAUUCUACCUUUAAACACCACCCACAACUGCCACUUCUACCAAAGGGAAAAAAAGUGGCCGUUUCUUUCCUCUUCCUUUAACUUUCAUUGUUUCUUACCUGGACUUUGGCAACAAUGCCUAUGUUGCCUCUUAUCAUCAGUCUCUCCCUCCUUGCUCUGGCCUGUUCCUGCUGAACACCUUCUUUAUGGUUGUCUUUCUAAAGAGCCCUGAGGACAGUUGCAGUGGCUCACACCUAUAAAUCCCAGCAGUUUGAGGGGCUUAAGAGGGCAGAUCGCUUGAGCAAGGAAUUCUAGAUCAGCCUGGGCAACAUGGAGAAACCCCCAUCGCUACAAAAAAUACAAAAAUUAGCUGGGUGUGAUGGCGUGUGCCUGUAGUCCCAGCUACAUGCUGAUGGAGGAUUGCUUGAGCCGGGGAGGUCGAGGCUGCAGUCAGCCAUGAUCUCACCACUGCACUCCAGCCUGAGCAACAGAGCAAGACCUUGUCUCAAAAACAAAACAAAACGAAACAAAAACAAAGAGCCCUGGCUCAUUUCCCUUCCCAGUAUUCUGCUAAUACCACCUGUAAAAACCUUUCUGCCUGUUUAUUGGCCUCAGGAUUUCCAUUGAAAGCUGCUCCUCUCAUUUGAAGAUUUAGGUAUUCAAAGCUAGUGAAUUAGGCCUUUUGUAGAACCAUUAAAGAUGUGUUAUUUUGUUCAAUUAAGAAGUGCCAUUAAAGUAUUUGUCAUGCUAAGAGGAUUCCAUUUAAAGAUUUACCCAUUUAAAGAUUACCCAAGUUUUCAGUAUUGAGACAGAUGGUACCACAGUAAAAGCAGUGAUGUCCUUGAAAAGCUGUCAAUUUUGUUUGGGAAAGUAAAUGUUCAUAUAGUGAUCAAUAAGGGUUGUGGGAUAUGCAUCUUUAAUAAUUCUAUAAUUCUGUCAGAUAUUUCUGGUCCUAGAUGAAUCUGGGUGAGGAGAGAUGGUAAUAUGGCAUCUGAUAGAGAGCAUGGUGAGGUUAAUGAAUGCAAAUUUUGGAUACAAAUGGAUUUGUCCUGACACAUUAGUUGUAGAAUUCAUAGGCAGGACUCUUCGUCUCUACACCAUAUCAUCAUAGUUACAUCACGGUCUUUAUGGCACACACAGCCCACUUAAUUUUCUGAAAAGUAGUUAUUUACGGCAUUUUCAAAAAUCUUCUAUGAAGUUAAGUUUAUGCCUGAAUUUCUAAUACACAUAAUGGGCAGAGUUAUAAAUACAUAGAAGAGAAAUGAAGAACCUAACAACAUCUCCCUGUAUCCAUGCCAUUGUAAAGGGACCCAGAUAUAGCUUUGAAAUCUAAUUGGAAUUCCUAUUACCCCUCUCUUUUCGUAUCUCUAGUCUAUGUUGAUCGAAUGGAUAGCAUAAGGCUGGUAUAUAGAGUCUUGUCCUCAUCUGUAUCAUAGAGAACUACAUGACAGAUGUCUUCAUAAAUAUCAUUGAUAUAAGAUUUCUCCUAUAUCAACAAUGACUUUUAAUACAUUCAACUUUGGUAUUUAGUUUACAUGCCUUACAUUCAAGAGCUCUUCACCCACUGAUGCCCACAUAUGCUGACAACUGUUCUGAUCCCAGCAGGAGUAACAGAUUUUAUUUCUUAAGCAUUGCAGAACUACGACCAGAGUGUUAUUAUUAGAUGAAAGAUCCUCAUACUGGCUUUGCAAUAGAGAAAAAAGAAAGAAUUGAGAUGAAAAUAAUCUAGGCUAUUUAAAAAUGCCCCACAUUUUCAAAAUUGUAACUGAAUUUGAUUUUCAAAGGCAACAUAUUCAAAUGCUCAAAAUUCAAAUGAUAACAAAAUUUUAUACAGAGUGUAAUUUCUAUGGUAUCUUUGUUCCCCUGCCAUCCAGCUCUUUCCAGUCUAAACCAAUGUUAUAAAAUGUUUGUAUUUUCUCACAGAGAUAGUCUAUGUAUAUAGAAGCACAUAUAUGUUUGAGUAUGCAUCUUGUCUAUUUCGUUUAAACAACUUCUCUUGGGGAUAGUAUAAGCACAUAAAGAGCUUUUAAAUUUUUUUCUGGUUACAUACUAUUCCAUUGCAAGAAUGUACAUAAUUUAUUUCAGUACCAAGUAGAUGGACACUUAAGUUGUUUCCAAUCUUUUGCUAGGACAGAGGUAUCCUUGCACCUAUAUCAUUUUGCUUAUGGGUAGGUAUUUCUUUGGAAUACCUUCUUAGAAGUAAAGUAUUUUUAUUAAAGGUAUGUAUUGUCAUUUUUAAGGAAUGUAAUUUAUUCCUUUUUAACUGUGAUUUUGAAAAUGCAAAGAGAGAAAAGGAUAAAAUUUGGAAAAAUCAGUCUUCCUCAUACUCCCUUUGCCCAACCACACUUUUCCUUUCCCCGGGAACAAAUAUGUUACCACUUCAUAUAUAUCCUUUCAGAGAUUUUAUACACACACAUACACAGACAAACACACACACACACACACACACACACAAGCUUACACAUAUGCCCAUGUGCACACAUGAAAGUACAUAUAGGAUAAUUUAAUUUGUUUGUGCAAAUUUGUGUUUUCUUCUGUAUUGUAGUCUACAAAAAUCAGAAGGUUAUUCCCAAGUUGCUGGCUGAAAUGCUUCAUUGUAACCACUUAAGACAGAAAUAUACUCUUAUUGCCUCAUGUGUCAUCAUCAUUUAACGUGAUAAAAUAAAUUCCACUAAUUUUCUCUAUACACAUCUGUUCUGUGUGGAGGAAAGGGAGCUGUAGAAAAAUAGCCCUGCACUGUACUUAGCCCCAAAAUUUCUGACAAGAUCCAAUCUAGAUUUUCUCCUGUAUGCCUGUUGAAGAACAGGCACCCUGUAAUCCUAACCUUCCUCUAAGGAUUCCCUUCCCCUUUCUCUUGUGCGGGAUAUCUUGUUUCCUCCAACCCAUGUAACCCUCUUUUUCUUAAUGUUCUUUCCGGCUCUCUGUCUCCCUACACCCCCUUACAUGCAUUCUCACUCUCAGAAUAUAUCUUCCAAUAACCUCAAAGUAAGCAAGAGUGUCUGGGAAGUACAUUUUUUGAGAUCUUGCAUUCUGAAAAUCUCUUUAUUCUCCCAACCCACCACUCCCUCUUCCCAACUGCCAUCUGAUUAAUAAUUUGGCCAAUAAUAAGAGUUCUAGGUGGGAAAUUUAUAGGCAUUGCUCCCGUCUUACUGUUAAAUCCAAUGACAUCGUGGUCUGUGAUCUCCUUCUUUUUUUUUUUUUUUUUUUCAGUUUGUCACUGAGGCUGGAGUGCAGUGGCAUGAUCAUGGCUCACUGCAGUCUUGACCUCCUGGGAUCAAGCAAUGCUCCUACGUCAGCCUCCUGGGUAGCUGGGACUACAGGCCUGCAUCACCAGGCUCGGCAAUUUUUUGCAUUUUUUGUAAGAGACAAGGUUUCUCCAUGUUGCCCAGGCUGGUCUUGAACGCCUGACCUCAAGUGAUCCGUCCACCUCAGCCUCCCAGCAUGCUGGCAUUACAGACGUGAGCCACCCUGCCUGGCCCUCAUUGUGAUUUCUGACUCAAUUUGUUUUCUCUCUGGAAAAUUUCAUGAUCUUCUCUUUGUCCCCAGUGUCUGUAUAUAUAUAUUUUUCCCUUUCUGAAAUUCCUUUUUUUUUUUUUUUUUAAAUGAUGGACCUCCUGGACUGGGCCUCCAGUUUUUCUAUUUCUUCCCUAUUCUUUUUCAUCUCAUUUUGUUUUUGCUGAGAAAUUUUCUCAAUUUUAUUUUCCAACUUACAUUCUUAUAUAUUCAAAAUUUUAUUUAUUUUUAAUGUGGCAAAAUACACAUAAAAUUUACCAUUUUUAUCAUUUUUGAUUCAGUGGCUUAUUAAGUACACUCACAUUGUUGUGCAACCAUCACUACCAUGCAUCUCCAGAACUUCUUAAUCUUCCCAAACUGAAACUCUGUAUCAGUUGAACAAAAACUUCAAAUUCCCCUCUUCUUCAGCCCCUGGCAACCAACAUUUUCUGCCUCUAUGAAUUUGAUUACUACUCUAUGUAACUCAUGUAAGUGAAAUCAUACACUUUUUGCCCUCCUGUGACUGGCUCAUUUCAUUUAGCAUAAUGUCUUUAAGAUGCAUCGAUGUUGUAGCAUGUGUCAGAAUUUACUGCCUUUUUAAAGGCUGAAUAAUAUUCCACUGUGUGUACAGUUGGGCUUCCAUAUCUGUGGGUUCCACAUGUAGAUUCAACCAACCCCACAUAAAAAAUAUUCAAAGAACAAUGACAUCUGUACUGAACACGUAAAGACUUUUUUCUUGUCUCUGUUCCCUAAACAAUACAGUAUAGUAACAAAUUACACAGCAUUUAUAUUGUAUUAGGUAUUAUAAGUAAUCUAGAAAUUGUUUAAAGUUUAUUGGAAGAUUGUGUAGUUUAUAUGCAAAUACUAUGCCAUUUUAUUUUUUAUUUUAAUUUUUAUUUGUUUAUUUAUUUAGAAACGAGGUCUCUCUCUGUUGCCCAGGCUGGAGCACAGUGGAACAAUCAUAUUAAUAGUUUACUAUAGGCCAGGCGCAGUGGCUCAAGCCUGUAAUCCCAGCAGUUUGGGGUUUGGGAGGCGGGUGGAUUGCCUGAGGUCAGAAGUUCGAGACCAGUCUGGCCAACAUGGUGAAACCCCGUCUCUACUAAAAAUAAAAAAAUAAAGAAGAAAUAGCUGGGUGUGGUGGUAUGUGCCUGUAAUUCCAGCUACUCGGGAGGCUGAGGCAGGGGAAUUGCUUGAACCAGAGAAGUGGAGGUUGCAGUGAGCCGAGAUCGUACCACUGCACUCCAGCCUGGGAGACAGAAUGAGACUCAGUCUCAAAAAAAAAAAAGUUUACUAUAGCCUUAUCUCUUAGGCUCAAGAGAUCCUCCAGCCUCGGCCUCCAGUCCAAGUAGCUGUAGCUCCAGGUAAAACCUGGCUGUGCCCUGUUGAAAUCAAUUCUGUUGCAGUCAUAUGCGGUGGAAUCUGUUCUUCUUUUGCAUCCUACGUAACCAGACCAAGCUGUGGGGUGAGUGCUUUUCUUGUUCUCCAGUGCCAUUUUCAGACCUGUUGUCUUCCUGCAUCCUUCCAAACCCCAGGCUCUGUUAAAGUUGUGCCAUCAGAGUUUUUUGGGUUUCUGUAAAGAUGAGAUCUCACUAUGUUGUCCAGGCUGGUCUUGAACUCCUGGCCUCAAGCAGUCCUCCUGCCUUGGACUCCCAAAGUGCUGAGAUUACAGACAUGAGCCAUCACACCUGGCCCUGUGCCAUCAGACUUUGGCACCUAUUCCCCUUCCUUGUUGCUGUCAUCUAGAGAAUUCAGUUAACUUUAUUCUUUGAUAAAUUUAGCACCUGGCUCAUUGGGGCUUUUUUCAUUAUUAUUCUGAUGUUAUUCUCACUCACUUCCUUCUUUCUGACUUCAAUGCCCACUCAAAUAUUACAUCUAAUACCUUAGACUCCAGUUUCCAGAUCCUCCCACCUUACAAUAGAAUGAUAUAAUUCUUCACCGACCAUCAGCUAUCCACUCCUGUCUAAGGUCAUACUUCUGACCUUGUAAUCAUCAAUAAGUCCAUCAUCUCCAGUAUCUCUAGUACCAGCAUCCCAUUCUUUGACUAUUGUCUUCUAUCCUAAAAGCUCACUAAACCAAGAAUAUCUAUACAAACAAUAUCUUGCCUUUAUUAAGACUCUCUAAUCUGGUGAGUUUAUGACUGAAUCACUAUCAAUCUGUCCUCUUCAGGUACUCCCUUCCUUAUUCACUCACCUUAGACUCUGUAAUACAUUAUUAAGCCACUGUUUGAUAACACCCUUCACUCCCUUGCCUCUGCCACCCUCCUUCACCUUAGCCGAGCUGCAACCCUCUUAUACCCAAUGGUCCCCAUGCAACAACACAACUGAACACUGGUGAAGACAAAAACGUAUGCUUGCUAGCAUCACUUUAAAUUCUGGCUAUAAAUCUCAAGUGGGUAGUCAAGAGCAGUAUUAUUAAACCUGUAGGACUUUUGCAUUCCCACUUUCCAAAAUGAUAAUUUCACCUCAUGUCUUAACUCCUUAAAUCUCCUGACCCAUUUUACUGUUCAUAGUCUCAGCUUAUAACAUUGCUUCAUAAAUCAUUGAGAAAAUAGAAGUAGUUUGACAAGAAUUCCCUCACCUUUCCAAUCAAAUAUUAUCUAUCCUCCUCACUCUAUACCUAUUUUCUGCCUGCUCAAUUUAUUGUAGAGCAACUGUCUCUGCUGCUGUCACUGGUACACUCUCUGGUUUUACUCUGGAAUUCAUGCCCCCCUCACCUUAUUAAAGGUUUUGUUUCUCAAUUCUCUGCUCAUUCUUCCCUGAAUCAUCACUUCUUUCCUCAAUCACUCCCAUUGUCAUAUACCAGUUCUAAUAAUUCCUUUCUUACACACACACAAACACACUGACAACUAAAACAAUAAUAAUAGCAAAAAGAGCAGCAAAAAGACCUUCACUUCACCUUCCAUCCUUUUCCAGCGGUCUCCUGUGUCUCAGCUUAAAUGUUUUCCCAGGGGGUCUUCCUCGUCCACCCAUUUAAAAGUAGCAGCUCAGUUAUUUUUUAUCAUAUUAUUCAAUUUGAAGUCUCUUCAUUGCAUUUAUCACUCUCUUAUGUGUGUAUAUGUUAAUGUUUGUUUACUGUUUUUCUCCACCUCCCCCCAUAUUACAUAAGCUCUGGGAGUGCAAGUGUCUUCUGUCUUUUCAUGUCUGUAAUCUCAGCACACAUGAUAGGCGAAGAAAGUCCUCAAUAAUAAUCUUUGAGUGAGUGAACGAAUGAAUGAAUGAAUGACUCUGUGUGUGUGUGUGUGUGUGUGUGUGUGUGUGUGUGUGUGUGUGUGUCUACAACUAGACCAUAGGAUUCACCAGGGCAAGGACUUUGUGUCUUAUAAGUCUUUGUAGUUGGUGUUUAAUAAACACUUGUUGCAUGAGUGAGUGAAUCAUUGCUCUAAAUGAGCAAUAAUCUAAAGAUAAAAGUUAUUAACAUGAUGUUCCGCUUUUAAAAUUUGCAUUGGCAUUUUUACUUUAACAAAAUCAAAAUGAUUUCUUUUAGGAUUAUACUAAUUCCUUUUAAACUAGUGCUAAUUUGUGUGACUUAUCCAUAUGCAUCUAAAUUAAUUUUUCUAACUUUAACUAGAGCUUAUAAAUAAAUAAGUAUACAUAUAUGUAUGUAGAUGGAUGGCUAUAUAUACACCUACCCACACAUAUAUAAAACAUAUGUUAGUCCUGUUCUAAGGAUCUGCCAAACUUUCUUGGUAAGACUUGCCAAUUGCAAUCAUGUGACAGGAUGACAGUUCUCUUCUCUGGGAGAAGUCCAGACUUCCAGUGUCUGGGACAGAAAUAAUGUAGACCAAGAAACAUAUAUAGCUGAUGAUGGAUGAUUUUUGGCUCUCAUAAUGUGAGGUUUGGUCUUCUUAUUGGGAGACUAUGAAAAUCAUUAGAUCAGAAAUUAUUUUUAUUUCUACUCAGUUGAAAGAAGUUUUCCUUCUAGUAUUUCUGUAUGCAGGCAUACUGCAAAGACAAUUUGCUUGGUCAAUAUGGGUUUAUACUAAACUCUACAACUCAAAGAUAGGAUGAGAUCCUUUUGCCAGUGUAGCUGUCUUAUUUUUAUUGGCAUAGUGACUGUGUGUCCAAAUAUACACCAAUUAUAGAUGUUUUCCUGUUGUCAGUAAUAUGGUACUGUUUAAGAGUGAAGACGUUUUCACUCUCAGGCAAAACUGAUUCUGAGGACAUGACAGGGAUACUUCAGUGAUUGCAUUUAUGCGCACAGAGGAGGUUAACAGUUAGGAAUGCUUUCAGUGGUAAGCAACAAAAUAAUUAGCAGUGCUUCAACAAAUUGGGGCUCAGUGGCUCAAUGACAUAAAGAGUGCCAUCUUUGCAAUUCCAAUGACCUUCCUGUCAAAGUCGAAUGAUGGCUGCAGUGCAAAAGUGUCCUAGCACACCUGUCCUAGCAAGUGUGCUUUUGCUAGGUCAGGUGUGCUAGAAGCAGGAGGUGGUGUGGACAGGUGAGUUUCUCUUUUUGCUUAUAUUCUCUUAUCAAGGAGAUAAAAACACUUAUCCUCCAACAAACUCCUCCAACAAACUUCCCUUUACAUCUUAUUGCCUCUUAAUUUGUCCCAUGACAGUUCCUAGACCAGCUGCCGAAGCUACCUUUCCUGAGAACUAAAAUCCUUGCCUGAUUUCUGAACAAAUGGGGCCUCCACUUGAAAGAGUGGAUAGAGGAAUGGUUUUUGUGAUGGCAAGGAAUAGAGCCUGCCACAGCGGGCUAACAACCACACUCAUGAAGUUUCAUGGAGGAGAUCUUGCUUAUGUUGAAUUCAACAGAAGCCGACAGGUAAUACAGUUGAGAAAGGUUGAAAAGGCAGAGAGAGAGAGCUGCUUCUGCAAGUGUAUUGAACAAUCAAAGGCAAAUAAUUCGUUACAGCUGGGCAUUCUGUACAUGUAGAUUAGUGAGAGAUGACUGCAGAGGUCAGCAGACCUCGUGCCAUAAAGACAACAUGGAAGCAGGGAGUCAAGUUCUCAUACCUUUGGGCAUUCAUUCUGAAAUUGCUAAAGAAGCAAAUAAAUGUCUGUCUGGGCUUUCCCGCCAUACAUGACUGAGAAUAUCCAGACAUUUCUCUAUAUUAAAGAAAAAGGAGAGAGCAGUCAUUACUUAGAAUGUCUUUUUGUGCUUGCGCGCACGUGCUCUCUCUCUCUCUCUCUCCCCCUAGCUAAACCUUGGCUGGGGAGUUUUCUGCAUUUUGCUAAGCUAGAUUGUACUCAAUGGGUUAUAGAGCCCCAGAAGAUUUUUCAGCUACACUUCGCCCACUAAAACCUUUGGAGAAAAGAGGCUGAAUGCUUGCAGUGAAACUAGUCCUGCUACCCUAAUCAUUGUUGAUCAGGCCAAGAAACCAGUACCUGAACCCAAAUUUGUCCCAGUAAGAACUCACCAUAUUGGGUAAAGACAAACCAACAAAAUUAGAUCUCCUCACCUUGAGAAGGGAAACUGAAUGAGAGAUGUAUGCUAGAAAUGUCAGUAGCAGAAGCAACGUGCAGAGGAGGAAGGAGAGAGGGCAGAGGAGGAAGGAGAGAGGGCAGAGGGAAAGAGCUAGAGAGAAAAAGAAAAAGAGGAAAGUGAACAACAGCUGGGCUCUGGAAAUUAACAUAAUAAGUCUCUGGCUAUUGGAAACUGAGGAGGAAAAAAGAACACAGAAAGUGUCAAUCAACUCUCAGACAAUUCUUUAGUGACAUGGACCAUAUUAUCAUGAUUAUCUUCAGUUCAUAGGAAUCAUUAAAUCUAUUCCCAAAAUGCAAUCUAAUAUUCUCCCAAGGAAUAUAAUAUAUUCAAAUAAAAUUAUUGACAAAGGUUACAAUCGUAAAUUAUUUAUCAGGUUGAAUUACUCCCCACCUUCCAGGGAAGUCUCAGGUUGAGGUCUUUGGAAAUAGUCAUGCCACUGUUUCCUCUUUGAGUUUAUGGUUAAUGGCACAGAGAGAAGUCUUUUCUUCCCUGGGUAGUUCUGAGUAAGAAAACAAUAGUCAAACUUGAAUGUAAUCACUGAGGCAACAAGAGAAAGAAAAGUAAUGUUUAGUUAACAGAACUGCAGACCGGAAGAGACAGGAUUCAUGGAUCUGCCAAGGUGAGGAAUACAGCCUGAAAUGCAAAUAGAAGCAGAUUGGAGAACAGGAAAGAAACUUCUGGAGAAAGCAGGCAAAGGGACCUGUUCCAAUGGAAGCACACUUUAUGUCUCCCAGAAUAGUAGUUCCCCAUCCUGGCUUCCUGUCAGAAUUACCUGCAGUUCGUUUCAAAAAAAACACAUUUCCAGAACUUGCUCAAUUCCUGCUGAAUCAAAAUAUGACUUUUUAUGCAGCUGGCCUGUCACCUACACAUGAUGAACUUUUUCCUGUCCAGAGGAAAAUAUCCAUGAUGAUGGCAAAAGUCCUUUCUUGAGAGCUGUCUUUUAUUCUCGGACUAAGGUCAUCUUAAUUUUUUAUUAUAAUAUUCUUCCUUUUAUGAAAUUGUUAUGACAAAACAUGAUGAGGUUUUUUUUAAUGUUCUUACUUAGCAAAAUAAAAAUUAGCAAAACUAUUGCUAGGUCUAUGACCUUGGAUGGUUCACCAAAAUCACCAUCACUAGUUCCUGAUUUUAAAAUCAGAGUAGUAAAACCUGGCUGGGCACGGUGGCUCACACCUGUAAUCCAAGCACUUUGGGAAGCCAAGGCAGGUGGAUCGCCUAAGGUCAGGAGUUGGGAGACUAGCCUGGCCUAACACGGUGAAACCCUGUCUCUACUAAAAAUAUAAAAAGUAGCCUGGCGUGGUGGCGAGCACCUGUAAUCCCAGCUACUCCGGAGGCUGAGGCAGGAGAAUCACUUGAACCCGGGAGGCAGAGGUUGCAGUGAGCCGAGAUCGUGCCAUUGCACUCCAGCCUGGGUAACAAGAGCGAAACUCCGUCUCAAAAAAAAAAAAAAAAAAAAAAAAAAAAAAGAGUAGUAAAACUUAACAGCAUUGUUUUGUGUAGAUUAUAGGAAAUAACAUGUAUAAUACAACUGGUACAUAAGAAACACCCAAUAUGUUCUCUAUGUUAUCAGGUAAAAUACUUUGGUUUGACUCUUGUUACUCAAAUGAUAGGAUGAUUUACUGUUUCAGGUAAGUGAAACGUCUUGACAUUGUGAUUGGCGUCCAGUCUCCUUCAAACAGGACUCUGCUUUUCUAUGAUUCUUUCUGUUGUCCCUUCCACUAUGUUUUGUAUUUGCCUCUGGUCUAGCUUCUCAAGGUAGCCUCCAGGAUGCACAGAGUGAGAGAGGAUGCUUUUCCCUAAACCAGGAACAAAAUUCCAGCCCUAAGGAGAUUGGACCACUCCCGACCAAUGAGUUUGGCCAGGGAGGUCAUGCACUGAUUGGCUCAGCCCUGGAUCAGUCUACUUCUCAACCAAUCAAGGUGCUAAGGAAACAGGAUUACCCUAAACGAUUUAACACACCGGGACUCAUUCCUGAAGCUGGAGAUGCUGUAACACAAUCAAAACUGUAAGGCUUAAAAGAAUUAAAGUAGGAAUUGCCGCAAUUCCCUUCCUAGACUUAUUCCCAAAUAUACUUACUAUGGACUACCUGCAUACAGCAGCCCCUUCACAUAUUUUUACUGCCUGUCAUAAAGUAGUCUGGGUUACAUUUAAAGAAGCUGCCAGCACUUAAUGCAUAGAAGUACUAAAAAUUUGUUACUGAUGUUUGAAAAAUAUAGAAAAUUAGAAGCGGAAUGGCUGAGUGUAGUGGCUUACACCUGCAGUCCCUACAUGUUAGGAGGCCAAGGCAGGAAGACUGCUUGAGGCCAGGAGUUUGAGACUUGGGCAGCAUAGCAAGGCUUUGUCUCUACGAAAAAUUGAAUAAAUGGAUAAAUAAUAAAAGAAAAGGAAAGAAUAAAGAAAAUUAGAAGGGGAAGAAGCCUCUUAUCCCACCAGAGAGUGUAAAUGAUUAUUAAAAUUUAAUGUAGCUCUCCCUCUCCCUCUCCCUCUCCCUCUCCCUCUCCCGCUCCGUCUCCCUCUCCGUCUCCCUCUCCCUCCACGGUCUCCCUCUGAUGCUGAGCCAAAGCUGGACGGUACUGCUGCCAUCUCGGCUCACUGCAACCUCCCUGCCUGAUUCUCCUGCCUCAGCCUGCCGAGUGCCUGCGAUUGCAGGCACGCGCCGCCACGCCUGACUGGUUUUCGUUUUUUUUUGGUGGAGACGGGGUUUCGCUGUGUUGGCCGGGCUGGUCUCCAGCUCCUAACCGCGAGUGAUCCGCCAGCCUCGGCCUCCCGAGGUGCCGGGAUUGCAGAUGGAGUCUCGUUCACUCAGUGCUCAAUGGUGCCCAGGCUGGAGUGCAGUGGUGUGAUCUCAGCUCAGUACAACCUACACCUCCCAGCCGCCUGCCUUGGCCUCCCAAAGAGCCGAGAUUGCAGCCUCUGCCCGGCCGCCACCCCGUCUGGAAAGUGAGGAGCGUCUCUGCCUGGCCGCCCAUCGUCUGGGAUAUGAGGAGCCCCUCUGCCUGGCUGCCCAGUCUGGAAAGUGAGGAGCGUCUCUGCCCGGCCGCCAUCCCAUCUAGGAAGCGAGGAGCGCCUCUUCCCCGCCACCAUCCCAUCUAGGAAGUGAGGAGCGUCUCUGCCCGGCCGCCCAUCGUCUGAGAUGUGGGGAGCACCUCUGCCCCACUGCCCUGUCUGGGAUGUGAGGAGCGCCUCUGCUGGGCCGCAACCCUGUCUGGGAGGUGAGGAGCGUCUCUGCCCGGCUGCUCCGUCUGAGAAGUGAGGAAACCCUCUGCCUGGCAACCGCCCCGUCUGAGAAGUGAGGAGCCCCUCCGUCCGGCAACCACCCCGGCUGGGAAGUGAGGAGCGUCUCCGCCCGGCAGCCACCCCGUCCGGGAGGGAGGU